UACGUAGGGGGCGAGCGUUAUCCGGAAUUACUGGGCGUAAAGAGUACGUAGGUGGCUACUUAAGCGAGUGGUGAAAGCCUGCAGCUUAACUGCAGCGAGCCACUCGAACUGGGCAGCUUGAGUGCUGGAGGGGAAAGUGGAAUUCCUAGUGUAGCGGUGAAAUGCGUAGAUAUUAGGAGGAACACCGGUGGCGAAGGCGACUUUCUGGACAGUAACUGACACUGAGGUACGAAAGCGUGGGGAGCAAACA
rnacentral:rRNA from 1 species